AUUGAACGCUGGCGGCAGGCCUAACACAUGCAAGUCGAGCGGAUGAAGGGAGCUUGCUCCUGGAUUCAGCGGCGGACGGGUGAGUAAUGCCUAGGAAUCUGCCUGGUAGUGGGGGAUAACGUCCGGAAACGGGCGCUAAUACCGCAUACGGCCUGAGGGAGAAAGUGGGGGAUCUUCGGACCUCACGCUAUCAGAUGAGCCUAGGUCGGAUUAGCUAGUUGGUGGGGUAAAGGCCUACCAAGGCGACGAUCCGUAACUGGUCUGAGAGGAUGAUCAGUCACACUGGAACUGAGACACGGUCCAGACUCCUACGGGAGGCAGCAGUGGGGAAUAUUGGACAAUGGGCGAAAGCCUGAUCCAGCCAUGCCGCGUGUGUGAAGAAGGUCUUCGGAUUGUAAAGCACUUUAAGUUGGGAGGAAGGGCAGUAAGUUAAUACCUUGCUGUUUUGACGUUACCAACAGAAUAAGCACCGGCUAACUUCGU
rnacentral:rRNA from 1 species